rnacentral:rRNA from 1 species
AGCUCCAAGAAUACGCGGAGGAGGUGGCCCGGGUCGGCGUCGGCGCCGUCCGGUGCGGGCCACGGGCCCGCUUCCAAGUGCGUCUGCGCGCCGGCCACCCACGCCGGGUCCUUCAAGUGCCGCUUCCACCGCACCAACUCCCAGGGCCACGGCCACGCCCAGGGCCAGGGAAGCCGCCCUUCUUCGCCCCCUUCACCGGCCGCGGCCAACGCGGUGCCGUGGCACCCGGCCUCGCUGUCCUCGUCCUCCGACACCGUCACGAUCCAGUGA